AGGAAAAGUAGGCUCAACACCAGCAGAUAUAUAAACCCGUUGUAAAUCGUGGAGGUAAAACAGACAGAGAGACAACGACACACCCUCCUGGAGCUUCGGGACUCCGCCGGAGCAGAGGGGGAGGCAGGCUGAACUCCGCCCGACCGUGCAGAGGGUUUGUCCGGGCAGCAGGAGCCAGGGCCGGUGGUCAAGGAAUAUGCACCUAAAACAGACGAGGGAACGGGAAGGAGUCGCUCUCUGUGCCAUUUUUAAAGCAAAGCUGUCCAUCACUCCAGGCAACUCUCACGCUCUCUGGCUGACUCCCAGCUCCCCCUCACCCCUGGCCCCUAAUAGCUGACACAGAGCAGUUCUUCACUGGCAAGCUUUAUGUUCUCGUACACAUGCUAAAGCUGCCAGCUGAAGAACUGCUCUGGUCAGCCCUGCCCCGGAUGAAUCAAGAAGAGGAAGUGGACGGGGGUUGCUGGGAAGAGGACAGAGGAAGGCGGUGUUUCUGUUUCACACGCUUAGCAGGCAGGCGUGACUUAAUACCGAAGAGAUUUUAUCCAGCAUUGUUCAUAAUCCUGUGUUUAUCACAUGUAAGGUUUUAUUUCAAUUUACGCAACACAGAAUGUUUAUUUCUCAUCUUUUUCCUAGAAAAACCUGAUAAACUAUAACAGUGUUUAUUAUAAUGUGUAUUUUACUGACAGAAUACAGAAUUAUUCACUUUUAGUCUUUCUUUCAAAAAACCUGCCUGCCUACAUUGUGUCUAUGUGUUUGGUUUUUUUCAAAAUAAAGGAAGAAAUAUUUUCUCAGA